rnacentral:rRNA from 2 species
CAAUCUGCCCUGCACUCUGGGACAAGCCCUGGAAACGGGGUCUAAUACCGGAUACUGAUCCUCGCAGGCAUCUGCGAGGUUCGAAAGCUCCGGCGGUGCAGGAUGAGCCCGCGGCCUAUCAGCUAGUUGGUGAGGUAACGGCUCACCAAGGCGACGACGGGUAGCCGGCCUGAGAGGGCGACCGGCCACACUGGGACUGAGACACGGCCCAGACUCCUACGGGAGGCAGCAGUGGGGAAUAUUGCACAAUGGGCGAAAGCCUGAUGCAGCGACGCCGCGUGAGGGAUGACGGCCUUCGGGUUGUAAACCUCUUUCAGCAGGGAAGAAGCGAAAGUGACGGUACCUGCAGAAGAAGCGCCGGCUAACUACGUGCCAGCAGCCGCGGUAAUACGUAGGGCGCAAGCGUUGUCCGGAAUUAUUGGGCGUAAAGAGCUCGUAGGCGGCUUGUCACGUCGGUUGUGAAAGCCCGGGGCUUAACCCCGGGUCUGCAGUCGAUACGGGCAGGCUAGAGUUCGGUAGGGGAGAUCGGAAUUCCUGGUGUAGCGGUGAAAUGCGCAGAUAUCAGGAGGAACACCGGUGGCGAAGGCGGAUCUCUGGGCC